rnacentral:rRNA from 1 species
UGGGGAAUCAUGGUCAAUGGGCGAAAGCCUGAACCUGCGACGCCGCGUGAGUGAUGAAGGUCGUAAGAUCGUAAAACUCUUUUCAGGGAUCUUAAAGCCUGUCUGUCAACAACAGGCAGGUCUGACUCUCCCUGGAAGAAGCCCCAGCCAACUACGUGCCAGCAGCUGCGGUAAUACGUAGGGGGCGAGCGUUAUUCGGAAUUACUGGGUGUAAAGGGUAUGUAGGCGGCCCUUCAAGUCGCGUGUCAAAGUCCAGUGCUCAACGCUGGGUGUGCGCGGGAUACUGACGGGCUUGAGGGCGGGAGAGGUGAGCGGAAUUCCCGGUGUAGUGGUAAAAUACGUAGAGAUCGGGAGGAACACCAGCGGCGCGGCGGCUCACUAGACAGUUUCUGACGCUAAGAUACGAAAGCGUGGGGAGCAAACA